GCCUUUGUAGAUUAAUGGUAAAUCACCUUUUCCGAAUGAACGGCAUAUCUGGUGGAUUAUUCAUAAGGAGACGGAGGUUCGAUUCCUCCCAAAGGCU